rnacentral:rRNA from 1 species
AGGCCUUGACAUGCAGAGAACUUUCCAGAGAUGGAUUGGUGCCUUCGGGAACUCUGACACAGGUGCUGCAUGGCUGUCGUCAGCUCGUGUCGUGAGAUGUUGGGUUAAGUCCCGUAACGAGCGCAACCCUUGUCCUUAGUUACCAGCACGUUAUGGUGGGCACUCUAAGGAGACUGCCGGUGACAAACCGGAGGAAGGUGGGGGAUGACGUCAAGUCAUCAUGGCCCUUACGGCCUGGGCUACACACGUGCUACAAUGGUCGGUACAAAGGGUUGCCAAGCCGCGAGGUGGAGCUAAUCCCAUAAAACCGAUCGUAGUCCGGAUCGCAGUCUGCAACUCGACUGCGUGAAGUCGGAAUCGCUAGUAAUCGUGAAUCAGAAUGUCACGGUGAAUACGUUCCCGGGCCUU